AUACUAAAAUUUACCCCUCUGAUAUAAGAUAUGAUACGCGAGGCAGCUCGUGAUAUAAAGUAUAACUUAUGUACACAUCAAUAUAUAGGAUAUAACCUUAGUGACACAAUAUACAGAGUAUACUUUAACUGUCCGCGAUAUAGGUUAUAGAAAUAGACUGGGGCGAGUUUUUAAUUAUUCAUGUACUGCCGGCUUCCGACUGCAUCGUUCAAAAGUGAGCGAAAUUGUGGGUGAUUCACCACAUUAUUAACACUUGUCCUCAUAUUAUUAGUAUCAUCAACAGUUACAGGCGCCGAAGUUGACGAGCUUUCUCCACUGAACGCCAUUUCUCUUUCCGCCAUGAUGCUAAAAUAUCUUCUAAUCUAUUUAGUAUUUACUACAUUUCCCGCGUUAACUCAUUUCGUUAAUUUAUUACUGAUUAAUUUUCCUGAUUAAAUUUCAAAGCCGGAAGUGAACUUUAAAAUGGCAGUACAUGAAUAAUUAAAAACUCGCCCCAGUCUAUUUCUAUAACCUAUAUCGCGGACAGUUAAAGUAUACUCUGUAUAUUGUGUCAGUAAGGUUAUAUCCU